rnacentral:rRNA from 1 species
GAUGAACGCUGGCGGCGUGCCUAAUACAUGCAAGCCGAGCGAACAGAUGAGAAGCUUGCUUCUCUGAUGUUAGCGGCGGACGGGUGAGUAACACGUGGGUAACCUACCUAUAAGACUGGGAUAACUCCGGGAAACCGGGGCUAAUACCGGAUAAUAUUUUGAACCGCAUGGUUCAAUAGUGAAAGACGGUUUCGGCUGUCACUUAUAGAUGGACCCGCGCCGUAUUGGCUAGUUGGUAAGGUAACGGCUUACCAAGGCGACGAUACGUAGCCGAACUGAGAGGGUGAUGGGCCACACUGGAACGGAGACACGGUCCAGACUCCUACGGGAGGCAGGAGUAGGGAAGCUUCCGAAAUGGGAGAAAGCCUGACGGAGCAACGCCGCGUGAGUGAUGAAGUUCUUCGGAUCGUAAAACUCUGUUGUUAGGGAAGAACAAAUUUGUUAGUAACUGAACAAGUCUUGACGGUACCUAACCAGAAAGCCACGGCUAACUACGUGCCAGCCGCCGCCGUAA